CUACACGGAGUUUGACUCCACCCACCCGCAUAGCCCUCCCCGAUGUCACGAAGUCGACGAUUCGACCCGAUAUCGUCAACUUCGUCCACUCCAAAAUCUCGAAGAAUAAGAGGCAACCCUAUGCUGUCUCUGAGCGUGCCGGCCACCAAACCUCAGCUGAGUCAUGGGGAAUAGAUAGAGUCGUCUCAACUCUCAUGUAUUCCUCGUGUUUCUGGCGGUGGUACCCACAGAGAGCUGCUAUCAAGGUUGUCAAGGAUGUGGGGUUUGAACUACCACCAUCUGGGCAAUAUGUAAUUGGAACAUAUGCCCACUACGGAGAACCAUAGGGAGGAAAGCAACGAGGGUUUUGCCAAGGUUGCAGAGUCUCUUGGUCAUACAGUCCUUCGGUGGCGAGUAGUGCCAAUUGAUAACACUAGAUUGGGAAAUUCUGCUUUGCAAACUGAAUCUUUUAUUGAGCAAGUCCGUGUAUUAGCUAAAAAAUAUUUAUAGAAGCUUCACUAUUUGGGUUAAUGCACGGGAUCUUCUGCCAUUCAACUUUCAAAGCUUCAAACAUUGGUUUCGUGGAGGCUUCAGUAUGUGGGAUUGUGAAGAUUAGUGUUUAAAUUCUAUGCUGAUUAGAUAUGCGUCAGGCUUGUGAAUCAUGCUAGAAUAUGUGCUCCUCAAGUCCAUUGUAGUUUCGAAUAGCCUAUUAUAUGGCAGUUGAGGGAGACCUUGCAUAUCUGUUGUACCUUGAUUUUCAAAUGUUUCAGCAGCAGAUGGUAAAGAUUCGUGCGGAUGGA